GAUGAACGCUAGCUACAGGCUUAACACAUGCAAGUCGAGGGGAAACGACAUCGAAAGCUUGCUUUUGAUGGGCGUCGACCGGCGCACGGGUGAGUAACGCGUAUCCAACCUGCCCACCACUUGGGGAUAACCUUGCGAAAGUAAGACUAAUACCCAAUGAUAUCUCUAGAAGACAUCUGAAAGAGAUUAAAGAUUUAUCGGUGAUGGAUGGGGAUGCGUCUGAUUAGCUUGUUGGCGGGGUAACGGCCCACCAAGGCAACGAUCAGUAGGGGUUAUGAGAGGAAGGUCCCCCACAUUGGAGCUGAGAUACGGUCCAAACUCCUACGGGAGGCAGCAGUGAGGAAUAUUGGUCAAUGGACGAGAGUCUGAACCAGCCAAGUAGCGUGCAGGAUGACGGCCCUAUGGGUUGUAAACUGCUUUUAUAAGGGAAUAAAGUGAGUCUCGUGAGGCUUUUUGCAUGUACCUUAUGAAUAAGGACCGGCUAAUUCCGUGCCAGCAGCCGCCGCAG
rnacentral:rRNA from 1 species